AUAUUACCUGGCAGAGAAAAUACCAUAAUCGCGAAUAUGUUUUUCCCAUAGCGAGGUUUAUCCGUUGCAUUGAGGAUGUGCAAAUCCUUGCAACUUACCCUAAGCGUGGGAAAUUGGACGGCAUAGUUUGUGUUAGUAAGGGAGUGCCUUCGCGCUUUCCUCUG
ensembl:snRNA U1 U1 spliceosomal RNA